UUGUGCCUAAAAUAAAGCAACCUAAUCAGACAAUUUCAAGAUCUAAAUUUACAAAUGUUAUCUUAUCAAAUUGCUCAACAUCAUCAUCUUCUUCAAUUUCUUUUGGAGUUUAGUUUAAUUUCUCAAUUUUUUCAACUCUACCAAAUCAAAAAUCGAUGAGUUAGUUUGUUAAGGGAAGUUGCUCAUACAAAAAUAGACCGAAACACCAAAACAACUCCGCCAAGAUGAAGAAGAUGAGAAAAGUUGCUCGUACAAGCUCUAAAAAUCUCAUUGCUAAAUCUUCUAGUAAGAAAAAAGUAAAGAUACAUCACGAUUGUGUCUUUCAAAGGUAUAGUGCUUUUAUUGCUGAAUCUACAUGUUUUUGUCAAUGUACGUAUUCUUAUACAUUGUUAUAUUAGUGUGAGUUGUUAUUUUAACCCUAUACAUAUUGUAAUGACCUAAAAAUUUGAUGAAAUAUAUAAAAUUUGUGAUUCUGUGUGAUUUGACUAUUUUACCCCUCUCCAUAGUUGCAUUUUGAUAUUUCUGUGGUGUGGGAGUGGUUGACAUAGUUUUCGAUGCAUUUUGGUAUCAUUUAUGCGAUAUUGUGGUUUUUGAUGGCUUCGAGAGCCUUAUUUUAGACUUAUGGGGAUAUCUUUUGAUUCGUGCGAUGGAUGGCAAAACGGAUCGCUCCAACAGCUUCGAAUAUCAAUUUUAGAAUAGUUUGACCUUUGAUUCGAGUUUUGGUGCACCCGAGCUCAUUUUGACCUAUUGAUCGAAAAGUUGGAAAAUUAAAAAUAAGGAUGUGGGACCCACAUUUGGUCGAAACAACCUCGAAUGAAAAAUCUGACUUCUCCAGCAAACCCAUAAUGUCAAUUUUAGGGUGUUAUCAUGUUUGGUGUGAUUUCACAGCUUUAAAAUCUCAUUUCGACCCUCGAUUUGGAAAAUUGUGAUUUCGGAUUUUGGUGGUCAACUUUGUAAAAAUAAUAUUUUUUCAAAAAAUUCGACUGUGCCAACACGUUUGGAAUAUCGAAUUUAGUGUGGUUUCAUAGUUUAAUUGCAUAUAUCGGACUUCGAACAAAUCUCGGGCACCCCGUUAAAGUGUGGGUUUAAUUUUAAAAGAAAAAAAAUUGUUGUUAUAGCAGAUUUUAUGCUAUAUAUAGAAGAUUUCUCCCCCUUUUGACUUAUUUUGCUCAUUUUUCUUCUUGUCUCUUGAGUGUUAAACCUUAAAAUAGUCUGGGAGUUUAAAAGUAAAGUUCUUGGGAAGCUAGAUUAACAUUUAUUUCAUUGUUUUAUUACGGAUUUAAGGUAAGAAUUUACCCUUUUCUUAGUAAUUUCUUGAUUAAUUUUUCAAAACCCUAAAAAUUUUGGGCUUGAUUUUAAAUCUCAAUUUUACUUCUUUUCACUUGAAUAAUAUUUUUAUCUUAUAAUUAUUAGUUUUUCAUCAAUUUACCCUUAAAACAACUCCGAUUUUUUUAUUUUUGCCCGGAUUUCAAAGAUUUUACCCGAUAAAGUUAAAAAAUAAUUUUUCUUCAAUUUGAACCUCGUUUUUUACUCGAUUUGACUUGGGUUAUCAGUUGUAGAUUCCUAAAAAUAUGCAAAACAUGUUUUUGAAUUAAAUUUUAAUUUUUCCUUUCUUUUUCAGAAACUUGUUUCCUGGGUCGGGUGUCAUUGGUUUUUUGGAUGCGUAUAUUUCAUAUUUGAUGUGUUUAGUGGAGUUUUGGAUCGCUCGUUAAAAUUAAGGUUAUGGGUUCAAAGUGUUGCGAGCUAGUUUCGGCAUUCGGGGUAGGUUAUGACUUAACUCUUUCAUACUGGGUUGGGUAAUAAAUGAUGGUAUAAAAUGCAUGUUAAGGAUGAGAACUAAUUAUGAAAAAUGUCUAUCUAUAUUUUGUGCCCGCGUGAGGGCCUAUAUGUGAUGUAAUUGUUCAAAUUGAGAUAUGAUGUGAUAUGCGUGACCGGGUGGGGUCCUAUGAGGUGUUGAUAGCCUUGAAUACAUGUGAAUAAUUGUAUUUUGUUGUUGACAUGCCUAAUAUGGUUUCAUUGGUAUAUUAUGAUAUAUACAUACUUAUUGUUAUAUGAGACAUAUGGAAAUUCAUGGAUGAAACGGAAGUAAUGAGUGGAUAUUGGCUCACAUAAUUGUGAAAUUGUAAUACUGUGGUUGGCUGUGGAAAUACAUCAUGUGGAUUGGGUGUGAAAAUACAUUACAUGGAUUGGUUGUGGAAAUACUCAUUUUGAAUGGUUGUGAAUAUUACAUCGUCAUUCUCAUAUCAUCAUACGUAUCAUAUCACUUGUUCGUUUUACCGUGAUCGAGGCCUAGCAGGAUUUCAGCCCAAGGGUAAAAUUGUAAAUGCAUGAAAUUAUCCAAAAUUUUCCCAACAAAAGAAGACUCAAACCUUAAUCCAAGGGGGAUCAAUCAUUCUACAUCUCUACGUCCCAUCUUUUAGCUUAGGGUUUUUUUAAUUUCUUGGAGCUUGGAGCAAGACUUGUACUAAUUUUGAGAUUAAAAAACAUUAGAGUGACCUCUAAGUGUAGAUUUGGUUUCACCCAUUGAAGAGUCAUUGGAUUCUAAAGUGUGAUUUGCACUCUCUUUAUUUUCAUAUGGAUAACUUUGAUGAAAAUAUUGGUUUAUUUGUGUUUAUUAUCAUUAUGAGUUGCUAGAUUUACCUCUUGGGGUUAUGCUUGGUUAGGGUGCAAUUGUGUGUGGGUUGUGAUAAUUUUUGUGUAGAUUUGAGUUUGCUGAUUAUGAGUUCUAUCAUUACUUGUUAAAAUUGAUUGGGAUUUGAUGGGUGAAAUCUCCAAAUACCUAAAUGGGUUUGAUGGGUGAAAGCUCCAAACUCUAGAAAGGUUAAACCCAUCUUCGAAAGAAGAGUUUUGGAUGAAAUUUAGGAAUUCAUGUCAUCCUCGAAAGAGGGAUGUGGAGACCAAAGUAAUGGAAGACAAUUAUGUGUGUAGUUUGCUAAUCUAUCACUAUAUUAGACACAAAAAUGGUUGUGGAGUUAACUAUUCCAUGGGUAUCAUCCUAGAAAUAGUGAUUCCUUGAUUGAGGUAUUGGGUGGUUUUUCUUGAUACACUUGUUAGGUGCUCAAAAGAGCCAAUGGGUGAAAUAUUUGUGGUUUUGUUGAAAAACUAGCCCCACGGACAUUAGACCUAGCCUACCAUAUCAUCAACGAAUAGAAUUUGCAUCAAAUUAUCAUGUUUCCAUGUAUAUUUUGCCCUUGGAAAAGUAUAAUCCCAAGAUCUAUUUUAAUUGAUUACACUCUAAUUAUUCUUAGUCUCGAGUUAGUUCCUUAGAAGCCCAAGAAUUAUAUUCAAAUUAGACACAAUUGAAAACCCCCAAACCAUUUUGUACCAUAGGUUUGAAUUUUAGCAAGCACUUUUAUUUAGAACAUACUUAAUCACCACUCAUAUUGUUCCUGGUGGUUUCGAACCAGACUCUUGUUGGAUAAAUAUAUUGACAAUAACUGCCUUACACUAAAUUGAAGUGUAAGUUGAGUGUUAUCAGUGCUCUAGAGCAAUCCUUGUGGUUAAGGUCCUGUAGUGACAUCGAUUUGUAGAUGAGGCUACUUGGGAAGUCGAGUCUGAUAUGCGUAUUUCUUAUCCUCAACUCUUCAUUGAUUCAGUUAUUUCUUUGCCUUAGUUGGAGGACGAACUAAAUUUUUAGAGUUGGAUUAUAUAACAACCUAAAAAAAUUAAUGAAAUAUAUGAAAUUUGUGUGAUUUGACUAUUUUACCCCUCCUCGUAGUUGCAUUAUGGUAUUUCUAGGGUGUGGGAGUGAUUAGCAUGAUUUUCAAUGCAUUUUGGUUCUAUUUAUGCGAUAUUGUGAUUUUUGAUGGCUUCGAGUGCCUUAUUUUAGACUUACGAGAAUAUCUUUUGAUCUAUGCCACAGAUGGCCAAAUGGACUGUGCCGACAGCUUUGGAAUAUCAAUUUUAGGCUAGGUAUACCUUUGGUUUUGGUCCCGGUGCACUUGAGCUCAUUUUGACAUAUUGAUCGAAAAGUUAAAAAAUUUAAAAUAUGAGUGUGGGAUCCACAUUGGAUCGAAAUGACCUCGGAUGAAAAAUCUGACUCUGCCAGCAGAUCUGGAAUGUUGAUUUUAGGGUGUUAGCUUGUUUGGUAUGAUUUUACGGCUUUUAAAUUUCAUUUUGACCCUCGGUUUGGAAAAUUGUGAUUUCGAAUUUUAGAGGUCAACUUUGUGAAAAUGAUAUUUUUUGAAAAUAUGAUAUCUCCAUCGUGUCCAAAAUUUUGAAUUUAUUGUGGUUGCAUAGUUCAUUUGCAUGUAUAGGACUUCGAACGAAUGUCGGACACCCCAUCGAUAUCCGUCGACCAAAAAAAUUGAUAUUGCAUAAAAAUCUUUACAACAAAUUGUUCUCUUUUUAGCUCAUUUUGCUCAUUUUCAUCUUGCCUCAUGGGAGUUAAACCCUAAAAUAGUAUGGGAGCUUAAAAAUAAAGUUUUUGAGAGUUUGGAAAGCUAGAUUAACAUCUAUUUCUUGGUUUUAUUAUGAAUUAAGGUAAGAAUUCACCCUUUUCUUAGUAAUUUUUGAUUAAUUUUUCAAAACCUCAAAAAUUUUGGGCUUGAUUUAAAAUCCCAAUUUCACUUUUUUUUCACUUGAAUAAUAUUUUUAUCUUAUAAUUAUAAGUUUUUCAUCAAUUUAGCCCUUAAAAUAACUCCGAUUUUUUAUUUUAACCCGAAUUUCAAAGAUUUUACCCGAUAAAGUUAAAAAAUAAUUUUACUUCAAUUUGAACCUCAUUUUUUACUCGAUUUAACUUGGGUUUUUAGCUGUAGAUUCCUAAAAAUAUGGGGAACAUGUUUUUGAAUUAAAUUUUGAUUUUUUCCUUCUUUUGUUGGAAACCUAUUCCGGAGGUCUGUUUUCACCCCGAACCAAAAAUAGUCAAUAUGGGUAUCAUUAUUCUUUUUAUGCGUAUAUUUUAUAUUUGAUGUUUUUAGUGGAGUUUGGGAUCACUCAUAAAAAGUAAGGUUGUGGGUUCAAAGUGUUGCGGGUCUAUUUCGACAUUUGAGGUAGGUUAUGACUUAACUCUUUCAGAUUGGGCUGGGUAGUAAAUGAUGGCAUAAAAUGCAUGUUAAGGGUGAGAACUAAUUAUAAAAAAUGGCUAUCUAUGUUUUGUGCCCCUGUGAGGGCCUAUAUGUGAUGUAAUUGUUCAAAUUGAGAUAUGAUGUGAUAUGCGUGACCGUGUGGAGUCCUAUGUGGUAUUGAUAGCCUUGAGUACAUGUGAAUAAUUGUAUUUUAUUGUUGACAUGCCUAAUGUGGUUUCAUUGGUAUAUUUUGAUAUAUACAUACUUAUUGGUAUAUGAGAUAUGUGGAAAUUCAUGGAUCAAACGAAAGUAAUGAGUGGAUAUUGGCUCAUGUAAUUGUGAAAUUGUAACAUUGUGGUUGGUUGUGGAAAUACAUCACGUAGAUUGGGUGUGAAAAUACAUCACAUGGAUUGGUUGUGGAAAUACUCAUUUUGAAUGGUUGUGAACAUUACAUCAUUAUUCUCAUGUCAUCAUACGCAUCAUUUUACUUAUUCGUUUUACUACUUUAUAUAUACUUAUUGUCAUGUAUGUGUAUUUGAUUUAUGUUUUAUGUUAUGUAUAUGCUUUGAAAAUACUGAAAUACUGGAUAUUAGUAUUGGAUAUUUGAUUUUAUGGACCAUCUUUGAAGGAUCAUGUUGGAGACAAAGUGCAGAUAUUGGUGAUCGUGAGGCUGUGUACCAAUACCAUGCAUUAUCUUUAUAUACAUUACACCCACUUUAUUGUGUUUAUGUUGUGAUUGAAUUAUGAUAUUGACUUGUCAUCUACCUAUUUAUUCUAUAUCUUGACUUGUUAACAUCUAAUUGUUCUAUUUUUCUUUCAUUGUACUUGAUUAUAUUUGUCUCUCUUUUGUUCUACUUGUCUUUGAUAUUGUGUAUAUUUGUAUCCAUAUCUUGUAUGUUGUUGUAUUAUCUAUGGAUAUUAUAAAACUGUUAGUACAAGUAGUGUGGGCUGCCGUUGUGGGACAUUAUUUGAUUGUAGGUAACGGUCCCUUAGUGUAAAUUUUAUAUGCUUUAUUUACUACUUUACUUAGUUGGCGUAUGAUACCUACUGAGUACAAGUGGACCGUACUCAUGCCUACGACACCCUUUCGGUGCAGGUCCUAGCUCGAGUGCGCCUCAGCUUGAUUGACUUAGGCGAUUGUUGGAGCUUCCAAGGUAGCGGAUGGGCAUUCAUGCAUCCAAAGUUCACCUCUAUAUUUUUAUAGUAGUUAUAUCUUUGUUAGUAUUCAGAGACAGAUAUUAAUCCUUUGUGGUUAUUUUUCUGAAGUAUUUGACUCUUGGAUUGUAUUAAUAGUUCUUACACUAUUGACACCUGGUUUUGGCAUGACUGGUAUUUUGGAUAAGUUCUUUC
rnacentral:lncRNA from 1 species